rnacentral:misc_RNA from 1 species
UAACCCAAAAAAGUUAUUUUUAAUAGCAAUUACUCCAGAUCAAUUCACAGGAUAUCAAACACCAUGGAUAUAGAUUCAAGUGAUGAGAACAGAAGAACCCAGAUCAAAAAACACCAGUUUUCUUUUUCCUCUAACCAGAAUAAUUACACAACAAAUUUCAAUAAGUAUUCUUAAAAUAAACAAAAUAAGUAUUCUUUUACACAUAAAAGUAAAUGAUUUAUCCAUCCUCAAAAGCAUAAUCGCCCAUCUCACUUCAAGCCUCUUCAUGAUGAUAAACAAAUUUUGUAUACACCAACAAACAUCUCUAUGUACAGAUGGAAGCAUGUGAAAUAGAAUACCUUCAAGCCACUUGAUCAUCUCCACAAGCAUCAAUUUUUUCCACAGUGCUUGUCAAGGAUAGAAGUUCCAUCAACUCCAUCCGAUACUCGAGGCCUCGAAGAUAGUGUCCCAGAAGCAUACACCUUAUGGAUAAAAGACAAAAGGAGGGGAAAGUAAUAAUAUUAGAAUCUAAAUAGCCAUUUAAAAUAUUCAUCAAAUCCAAUGAGGUGGUAUUUCUACUACUGGAUAUUUUGUUUGCCUUGUCUAUACUUUUAUUUCAUGUCAUGAUGCUUAUUAAUUUAUUUAGGCUUCAACAAAUGGCAAGAAAUAUGCAGCUAACCAUAAUCUAAUCAUCAUCAAUCUCCAGCUAGGCUGAAGUUCCAAUUUCGAAAGUGAAAAAGGAGAAAAGGGGUGAGGAGGGAGAAAAUGGAGAAAGAGUGUGGCCUACCAGAAGAGUAGACGCGCCAGAUAAUCCCUUGUUAAAGAAAUGAGGGGCUGGAACUGAAGUGAAGUGUUUUCAACAAGUUCUGCACAAUCUUCACUCCCAAUAUUCCGUGUUCCAGUUGAUGCAUUCUCUGAUUGAGGUGGAACUUUGGAAUGCAUCUUAGGUGAAAGAGUUGCAAGGAGACCAUGGACUACAGAAUGGAUUAUUUCUUUCAAUUCAGGGGAUGUAGGUUCUGACAACUCAGCCACCUGAUAGAUUGCACUAAGCACGGCCAACAGUUAAACCAAAAGCCAUAUCUUGUCCCUAUGCAUCACCAACAUAAAUUAGACUAAACUUCAGUAGCAUCAGUAUGUAAAAUCAUUGCAAUCAAAUUUAAAAGAUUAUAGGAAGCAAAGUGAGCUUUCAUGGCUUUCAGGAUUGGCAUGAACUAAAAAUUAAUAAUCAACAUGCUUUACAAAAUUUCAAAUGUGAACAAAUAAAGACAAUUUUCAAAGGAAACUUCCAAUUAAAACAAUGUCACAGUCAAUAACAGCAGCUGCAUUUCAAAUUUGAACUUCGUUUGUCUUUAUGAAGAACAGAAAACAUCAAGAAAAUUUUGUAGAUAAAGGUGAGUCCCUAGCUUGCCUUUGCAAAAAAGGGGAAAAUUUUGGGGAAAAAAAAACCUUGACAACAGGAUGUUAUUACUACUAGCAUUAUUAGCCAGUAAUCACCAACCUUGACAUCUGCAUAUGAUAGUAGCACAUCAUUACAGGCAAAAGUUUGGUAAUUUAGAAAACAUUGGCAAAAACUUAACCAGAAGAGCAAGCUUUAGAGAUUAAAACCUUUUCUGGUUGUAGUGAUCUCAAGUAGUCCAGUAAAUCAUUCUUUUCUUCACCAACAAACCGUUGCAUCUGAAGAGCAGCGCUUUUCCUCUUGACUUCAUGCAGUUCCUUUUUAACAGAAGAUAAACGAGACUGCAAAUCAAGAAUAUAUUGCCGAGCUUCAGAGGACAUUUCACCAAGGCCUUCAAUACUAAUAUUAUCAGAUGGAUCUUCAGUUCUUUUUUCAAAUUUGACAUUUUUUCCAUAAUAUUGAUUUGCUUUCACACUGUCCACCUCUGUUCCUUGCAAAUUAUGUUUAGAGUUUUCUGGCUUUUGGUUUUCAAUAUUUCCUUCAUGCGCAUAGAGGUUUCUUUCAAGGCAAAGCCUAUACUCAGCAUUCCGCAAUGUAUACCCAGUCAUCAUUGAGGAGACCAAUAACUUGGAGAGGGGUUCCCACAAAGACUCAAUGAAAACUUUAAAGCGAUCAGAUGGAAGUAAGCCCAACAUUCCAGAGAUAGUCCUCUUCAUAGCAUCCAAUGUAGUAGGUGGAACAUCUCUCUGAAUAAGACUCACAUCCAAUGGUUCUAUUUCUUGUAUCAAAUCUGAGAGAACUGAUUUCUUAUCAGUAGAACCCGACUUGCGAUCAAAAACGAAAUCAUCGAAAGAGGAGGCGGAAUUAGAGGAAGCAAGAAUUAGGGUUCGGAUUUUUCUAGGGUUUGAGUUGAGAGUAGAAGUCAGAGGAGAAAGAGGGAAGGAAAGAGAGGAAGAAGGGGAAUUGUGGGGGUUGGAAAAGGAGAGGAACAGAGGAGGAGGAAGAGAAGAGGAGAGAAAGGAGGCAAAGGUUGCCAUAAAAAACAACCUUAGUUUGCAGUCUCUUUCUCUUCUCCUUCUUUCCUCUUCGUGUACCGUCUGUGUGUCAAAUGGGAAAACGUCAGCCACAAUAUAAUUCUGGAAGAAGACAAAGCCCAA